UGAGGAAUAUUGGUCAAUGGGCGCGAGCCUGAACCAGCCACGUCGCGUGAGGGAUGACGGCCCUACGGGUUGUAAACCUCUUUUGUCGGGGAGCAAAUUCCGUUACGUGUAACGGAGUCGAGAGUACCCGAAGAAAAAGCAUCGGCUAACUCCGUGCCAGCAGCCGCGGUAAUACGGAGGAUGCGAGCGUUAUCCGGAUUUAUUGGGUUUAAAGGGUGCGUAGGCGGGCUGUCAAGUCAGCGGUAAAAUACGGGGGCUCAACCUCCGCCCGCCGUUGAAACUGACGGUCUUGAGUGGGCGAGAAGUAUGCGGAAUGCGUGGUGUAGCGGUGAAAUGCAUAGAUAUCACGCAGAACUCCGAUUGCGAAGGCAGCAUACCGGCGCCCAACUGACGCUGAAGCACGAAAGCGUGGGUAUCGAACAGGAUUAGAUACC
rnacentral:rRNA from 1 species